UACGAAGGGGGCUAGCGUUGCUCGGAAUUACUGGGCGUAAAGGGCGCGUAGGCGGCACUGUUAGUCAGGCGUGAAAGUCCUGGGCUCAACCUGGGAACUGCGCUUGAUACGGCAGAGCUAGAGGAUGGAAGAGGCUCGCGGAAAUCCCAGUGUAGAGGUGAAAUUCGUAGAUAUUGGGAAGAACACCGGUGGCGAAGGCGGCGAGCUGGUCCAUUACUGACGCUGAGGCGCGACAGCGUGGGGAGCAAACAGG
rnacentral:rRNA from 1 species